UACGGGGGGGGCAAGCGUUGUUCGGAAUUACUGGGCGUAAAGGGCGCGUAGGCGGUUCGCUAAGUCGGAUGUGAAAACUCUGGGCUCAACCCAGAGCCUGCAUCCGAAACUGGCGGGCUAGAGUUCUGGAGGGGGUAGCGGAAUUCCUGGUGUAGCGGUGAAAUGCGUAGAGAUCAGGAAGAACAUCGGUGGCGAAGGCGCUCUGCUGGACCAUAACUGACACUCAGGGACGAAAGCUAGGGGAGCGAAUGGG
rnacentral:rRNA from 1 species